UUUAGCUCAUUGGCCCUUAGAAACCGGCAAGGCACAUGCAGUGACCAUAGCUACAAAGCCCCUGUGGCAGACGCUGUUGGCUGCCUUCCCAUGGUCAUGCCUCUUCUCCGUUGUCUUCCUUGCUGGCAGGACUGCCUCCCACAGCAGAGGCAGAAAAUGCCAAGUACUUGCAUUCUCCGCCUUUCUCGGGACCUCAGUUCUGGCCUGUGUUGUAAGGGGAAGUCUGCUGGGAAUUUGUGGGAAAGAAGAGAAGAAAAAACAGUUUCUCCCCACCUCCCACCCCCAGCCUUUCUGUUGUUUAUGUGGUUGUGUGAAAAUGUGAUGCCUGGAGCCCAGGAGACCGUCUUGUGACGAUGAGGAUAAAGAUCAAGAAACUGCAAAGAGGUCCCUGGGAGUUUACUGGCAGCAGAACCAGCCCUGGCUUCAGAGUGUGGCAGGAAGUGGGGGGAGGGGAGGGUUGGAAAAACUCUGUGAACCUUCUGAUGUCAGAGAGCAAGAAGUGUGUCCAAAAAGGUUGUCAAAGUGGAGAAGGCCUGAGAUGAGGAUCUUGAACCAUGUAAGAAAGAACAAAGAACAAGGUGUAAGCUGA